rnacentral:lncRNA from 1 species
GAGAACAUGAACUUUCACCUCGGAGCCCACCCCCUCCCAUCUGGAAAACAUACUUGAGAAAAAACAUUUUCUGGAACAACCACAGAAUGUUUCAACAGGCCAGAUGUAUUGCCAAACACAGGAUAUGACUCUUUGGUUGAGUAAAUUUGUGGUUGUUAAACUUCCCCUAUUCCCUCCCCAUUCCCCCUCCCAGUUUGUGGUUUUUUCCUUUAAAAGCUUGUGAAAAUUUUAAGUCGUCGUCGAGACUCCUCUACCCUGUGCAAAGGUGUAUGAGUUUCGACCCCAGAGCUCUGUGUGCUUUCUGUUGCUGCUUUAUUUCGACCCCAGAGCUCUGGUCUGUGUGCUUUCAUGUCGCUGCUUUAUUAAAUCUUACCUUCUACAUUUUAUGUAUGGUCUCAGUGUCUUCUUGGGUACGCGGCUGUCCCGGGACUUGAGUGUCUGAGUGAGGGUCUUCCCUCGAGGGUCUUUCAUUUGGUACAUGGGCCGGGAAUUCGAGAAAUGAACUUUCACCUCGGAGCCCACCCCCUCCCAUCUAGAAAACAUUUUUGAGAUAAAGGCCUCCUGGAACAACCUCAAAAUGACAUUGCCAAAUGAUAAGACAUGACUCCUUAGUUACGUAGGUUCCUUGAUAGGACAUGACUCCUUAGUUACGUAGGUUCCUUGAUAGGACAUGACUCCUUAGUUACGUAGAAUCCUUUGGCAGAACCCCUUGUCCCUUGGCAGAACUCCCUAGUGAUGUAAACUUGUACUUUCCCUGCCCAGUUCUCCCCCCUUUGAGUUUUACUAUAUAAGCCUGUGAAAAAUUUUGGCUGGUCGUCGAGACUCCUCUACCCUGUGCUAAGGUGUAUGAGUUUCGACCCCAGAGCUCUGUGUGCUUCCAUGUUGCUGCUUUAUUUCGACCCCAGAGCUCUGGUCUGUGUGCUUUCAUGUUGUUGCUACUUUAUUAAAUCUUACCUUCUACAUUUUAUGUAUGGUCUCAGUGUCUUCUUGGGUACGCGGCUGUCCCGGGACUUGAGUGUCUGAGUCGAGAAUCUUUCAAUCCCAGAACCUAUAACUGCCUGUAACUCCAUCUCCAGGGGAUCCUACCCCUCUGACUUCCACAGCACCUCUACACACAUAGCAUAUACUCACAGACACACAAAUGUACAUGAUUUAUAUUUUUUUCUUUCCUUUUUUCUUUAUUUUAAAGAAAGAGAGGGAGGGGAAAUGGGAGAAACGGCAGGAAUUUCAGGGAAACAACUUCAGCAACAUGGAAAGCCACCACUGGGCAGUGAGCUAAUGAGGUAGGAAAAACAGUGACUAAAUGCCACCUUCCCUUGAAUCCUAUUUCUG